UCAAGCAUCCGUGGUUUGUGCUGGACAACUACAUCUGAUCCAUGGAGGUUCCACUUCAUAGCUUCCAGGACUUAAAGGAUCUGCUGCUAACGUCUUGGUGCCAGAUUUCACAGCACAUUCAGAUGUCCAGUGGAGCCCAUGUCUUGUUGGGCCAGAGCUGUUUUGGCCCUGACCUGAUGAAAAAGGCUUGUGUCUUUCUACACUCCUCUCUCCCUCUCCAUCUUUCUCUCUGUCCACAGGCGUAAGCCACAGACUGGGUCGUGUUGGGACUUAAUGAAGCAACGCUGAUCCAAUAAUGGCAGCUUCUGUCGCCCGCCUCACAAACUAUGAUGUACGACUUCAUGUCGACAACGCGCCAUGAAUCUCACUUACCACUGCCCCCCUCGACAUGUCUAGUUUUUCAAUUAGGCUCUGUUUAGAGACAACAAAGAAAACAGCUGAAUGAUGUGUGACCAUUCGAACAGAAAGAAGAUUGCACUCAGAGUCAAGCAAAGGAAAAAGAAGAGUCACACUGUGGGCUCUUAAUCUGCUAAUAAACAAUAAACAUGA